CCAGGUUGGUGAACACAUGGAGAUUUGGAGAGAGUGGUGAAUGGAGAGAGGGCAUGGAAGCUAGAAGCCCUUUCCCACAUAUCUUGUCCUAUGCAUCUCUUCCAUCCUAGGUUAUAUACUUUUAUAAUAAACUGGUAAUUUAGUAAGUGACGUGUUUCUCUGAGUCCUGUGAGUAUUUCUGGCAAAUUAACUGAACCUGAGGAGGUGGUCUUGGGAACCUCUGCUUUACAGCCAGUGGGUCAGAAAUACUGUAACAACCAGGAUUUGGGACUGGCAUCCGAAGAGUUGGGGGCAGACUUGUAGACUGAACCUUAACCUGUGAUAUCUGAUGCUAUAUUUGGGUACAUACCGUCAGAACUGAGUUGAAUUCUUUUGACACCUUGCUGGCGAUCCAAGACUUGGUUGGUGUUUGGCAAUCCACUCCCUACCCCUUGCCGCCCCCCGCCCCCGCACGUUGGAACUAGGUCUUGGAACCUAAUACAGGGGCAUAUCCAGAGUUGAAGUUUAAAGUUGUUAAAACAGGGAUUGGGAAAUGAAGGCAGGGAGACUGUAGGACAUGACAGUGGACUCCAGGAGAAUUAUGGGAGGGGCGGAACCAGAGUGGCAAUAGAGGAGAGAUGUGACAAGAGUUUGUAUAGAUCAUAAAGAUAGAGUCAGCAAGAUUUCUUGCCGCAUCAUGUGCUUGUGAGCAAAAAUAGGGAGUGAACGACCAUCCCAAGUUUUUUACCUAAAUAUUUAAGAAAUGGAGAUGAGGAAGUUAGUGCAGUGAACAGGGUUCAGGGAGAUCAUGCAUUGUAUUUGGACAUGAUGAUUCUGACAUGUUUCAAGAUGGAGAUAUCAGGAGAUGGAGAUAUCACAUAGGUAGCUGGACAUAAAGGUCUGGAGGCCCGGGAAGGUGGCUGGUUUGGAGCUUUCAAAAGGAUAGAGGGUGUUGGGCUGGACCAGGCCAUAGCCUGGGUGUCAGAUUGAAGGAGAGUCUUAAGUUUAUUAUUUUAGAUGGUCUCUGUGGUGAAGUAGGGAAUGCCUCAGACUGGAGGGCAGGGCACAGGUGGGUGUGCAUCCCUCUUCAAAGGAGCAUUCCUGGCAUAGGAUGAAUUUGUAGGAAGGGAAGUCCAGAUGGGGUAAGGAGCUGACCUAGGUGGAGGCUGAGUUGUGAGUUAGUGUAGAUUCUCCCCAGUGUAGGCUAAACAGGCGGGUUGGUGGAGUAGCUAGGUCCUAGAGCAGGCCACUGCUCUCUUACCUCCUCCAGCCCUCAGAGAGAGCAAGAGGGAUGCUCUACUGUCCAGUCAGGGCUUCCUGCACACUCCCUUUAGAGGAUUAUGUUUCAGGCAGGCCUGGUCACUGAAAGGGCUAGUAGCUGACCUGCCUGCACUGUGCCUCCCUGCACAGUUAACUUAAGAUUAUGUGAAACAGUUAUUGAUUUAAACACUAAUGAACCAACAUCCCUCUACACACAGAUAGGCAAUUAGAAAUGAACACAUUGAAUUAAAUUUAUUUGAACACUUAAUAAUUGGUCUGAAUGUUAAUAUAGUUUUAAGUAUUUGCUUACAACAUAAAGUUUCGUUUCACAUCCUCUGAAAACCUUAAAAAGUGAGAAAAAUACAUGCUCAAAUUUUCAAAACCCUACCGCUUCAUUUAUACUGAAAACACACAAAACCAUUGAUCGUGUGGACAAUAAAAGCUGAUAUAUAGUGCAUUCUACUUAAGUUUGAUACCACUGUCCACCCUGUGAGUGAUUCUAAUGCCCAUUUUACAGAUAAGGGCAUGAGGGCUCCUAGAGAUUCGGUCCUUCUUCAGGAUCUCCCAGCUGGUAAGGUAGCACGGAGGUCUGAGGAGCUGAGCUUAGACCAGGCUGAGAUUGCUUUCCUCUAUGUUAGAGCAAGGCAGGGUAGUGGUCCGGCUCAGCUUGAAAUGGUUACCCAUCUCUUAUGGCCUCCCUCUUCUCACAGGGUCACAUGAUGGUGGCAGAAAUGCUUAUGGACUCUGCAUGGUUAAGUAGAGGAUGUCCCAGGCUCCCACCCACUCUAGUUAUCACCUCGAUGGUUUAGGUACCCCAAUAUAGGGUAUAAUGGUGUUCUGAGACUCCAACUAUCCUUCUUUCUUCCUCUCUUGGGUCUGAAAAUCCUGUGGUUCCCCCAAGCUCAGGGUCUUGAGUUAAAUGGGUCAGUUUCACUUCAGACAGCCAUUGGGGUAAGGUGUGACAUGCAUCCAGGGUGCAGGAUCCAGAAUGUUCAAAUGCUAGCAGGGCCAUGUGAUCUUUGAGGACGUGGCCAUCCAUUUCUCUCAGGAGGAGUGGGGCCUCCUUGAUGAAGCUCAGAGACUCCUGUACCAUGAUGUGAUGAUGGAGAACGUUGCACUUCUGUCCUCUGUAGAUCGAAACGUUCGUAUCGCUGGGCGAGCCUGAGGUAAUGACCAGGAAAAUGCUGCACCCGCUGCUCCAUUCCGUGCCCGCCCCGCCCACAGGCUCUGGUUGCGCUGAAAGGGCCAAUUCAGGUCAAGAAAUGGGAUAUAAAUAGGAUCUCAGGAGCCACCAGUGCACCUUCCAGAGGGAUUAUCCACACUCCCAGAGAGAAGCUCCUCUCCAAUGUUUUCAGGGUCUGGCCCAGGGGACUCUGGGAGAAGUGGACUUCACCUGGUGUGCUAGCGGACCUAUUGUCUGUAGGGGAGGACGACUCUUCCUGUGGACCUGGGUGGCGGCUCUGAGAGCACAACGGAACCCGGAGAGGUGCAGGAACCAGCCCAGGAGUACUGCCUGACUGAGUGGUGAGGACCUGGGUCCCAGGAACAGCCUGCCAUUAGAGGACAGAAAGGGAGUCUGAUUAACUCCUGAGGUCACCCAAUUACUCUAUAUUUGUUGGAGGAAACCGUGACCUCUCAGGAAAGACCUAUGAGGAAUGCAUGGAAGGAACGUAUCUACUCCUCAAUCUCCUCUGGGAAGUGAGUUACAAGGUCUCUAAAAGGAAGGCUCAAAUCUGCCAAGAAAGAGUCAAAUACCUCGGCUUUCACCUGUCGCAGGGAUAGUGCUAACUCGGCCCAGAAAGGAAACAAACGGUCUGUUUAAUUCCCGUCCCUACCACUUGGUGACAAGUCCAUGAAUUCCUCGGAACAGCUGGCUUCUGCAGAAUCUGGAUACUUAAUUUCUCCAUCCUGGCCAAACCCCUUUAUGAAGCCACAAAGCGGGUAAAACGGGAGCCCCUGCUCUGGGAAUCUACACAACAGAAGGCCUUUGAAGAAAUCAAAUGGGCACUCACUAACACCCCUGGACUCGGACUCCUAGACUUAACCAAAAUUUUCUUUCUGUACGUACACAAGCGCAUGGGUGUCACAGUAGGGGUUUAAUCCAACGGCUAGGAUCUUAGCACCAUCCCGUGGCUUAUCUCUCCAAAUAGCUUACCUCUGUCACCCAGGGCUGGCCACCCUGGUUGUGAGCACUCUCAGCCUUGACCCUCCUUGUGUCAGAGGCCGACAAACUGACUAUGGGGCAAGAACUGACAGUUCAGGUACCACAUUCAGUAAUGACACCAGAGUGCAAGAGACAGUAUUGGCUAACCAAUGCCCGGAUGGUCAGAUACCAAGGAAGGCUGUGCAAGAAUCCACGCAUCUGCCUAGAAGUAGUACGAACCUUGAACCUAGCCACCUUGCCUACCUAUUGGGCCUGGCCAGCCAGACCACAAUUGCAUUGAAGUCAUGGAUGAAGUGCUUUCCAGCCGACCCGACUUGACAGACCAGCCCCUCAAGGACCCUGAUGUGGAAUAUUACACUGAUGGUAGCAGCUUUGUGAAGGGAGGAGGACGCCUUGCAGAUAUGCUGUGGUGACCAUUCCACCAUUGAGGCACAACCUCUGCCUAGGAGAACCUCAGCACAGAAGGCAAAGCUCAUCUCCUAGACCUGCACCCUUCAGCUGGCAGCAGGAGUGUGUGCUAACCUAUACACUGACUCUAAGUAUGCCUUCACCACCCUCCAUGUACAUGGAGCCCUAUACAAAGAGGAAGGUCUAAUCCAGGGAGAAACGACAUAAAAUAUGGAAAGGAAAUUCUAGAACUCUUAGGUGCUGUGUGGGCCCCCAAGAAAGUAGCAGUCAUGCACUGCAGAUGACAUCAAAAAGGAGACGCCAUAACAGCUCAGGGCAACUGCAGGGCAGACCAUGUUGCCAAACUGGCAGUGGCUGAAGAGAUGGCCAGCUCUACAAUUUUAACUGCUUCCCUGUUUCCUAGUCUCUUAGAUGAAUGGGACCCCAAGUACUUGCCUCAAGAAGCCUGGUUUAAAAUUGAAGAGGGGAACCUCCUCCCUGUGGAUGGUGAAAGUUCAGGGACAGGCAAAUUGCAGUCCCUGAGAAACUAGCCCCAGCUUUUGUCAGGCAGUUUCACCAAAGGACUCACCUUGAUUGCUCUGCCCUAGAAUCCACUCUGGGCUGGUACUUCUGUGUCUCCUGGCUCUCUAGCAUCUCCUGAGCGGUAUGUGAACGGUGUGAAGUCUGUGUCUGCAACAACCUCAGGCAAGAGCUGUGUGCCCCACUGGGGUCCAAAGUGUUAGUGGCACUCCCUUUGAGGAACUCGAAGUAGACUUCACUGAAAUAUGUCUCUCACGGGCUUCAAGUAUCUCUUGGUCUUUGUAUGCACCUAUUCUGGUUGGGUAGAGGCUUACCCCGCCCAGACUGAGAAGGUCCGAGAAGUAGCCAGACAGCUUCGCCAAGAAAUUGUUCCACGAUUUAGCCUACCAAUUACCAUUGGCUCAGAUAACAGGCCAGCAUUUGUAGCAGAAAUAGUGCAGCUACUAGCUAAGAAUUUAAAUGUUAAAUGGAAAUUGCAUACCACCUAUCAACCACAGAGUUCGGGACAGGUGGAGUACAUGAACAGGACCCUUAAGACUCAGUCGGGAAAACUAUGUCAGGAGACACAUCUACAUUUAGAUGAAAUCCUCCCCAUGGCACUAUUAAGAAUCAGGUUGACCCCAGCCAAGAAAACUGGGUUCUCCCCCUACAAGAUCCUGUAUGAGUGGCCACCAUCACUCAUCAAAGGACUACGAGGAGACCUCAAGGAAAUAGGUGAAUUGACUCAGACAACAGCUUCAGGCCCUAGGGACCACCUUCCAGACUCUCAACCAAUGAGUUAGAGAAAGGCUCCCUGUCAGUUUAACCACUGAAGUUCAUCCCGUUAAGUCAGGAGACCCUUUCUGGGUAAAAGAGCUAAACAUCUAGCCCUUAAAACCCCUGUAGUGAAGCCCUUUUACUGUCAUUUUGUCUAUCCCCACGGUAGUUAAGGUUGCUGAAAUAACGCCCUGGCUACAUCACAGCAGUCUUAAACCCACAGCUGCAGAGUGAGAAUGUGUUGCAGACUUUUCUGAGCACCUUAAGGCAACCCUCCAAAAGAAAACACUGACUGCGCCAACACACCCCGGGUAAGACAUCGGCCCCGCUUUCAUCACACUGGAAACUGACCAGUCUAUGCACGGCAGUAGCCUGAGGACGACAUCUCGUCAGGAUGGGACUCUAAUGAUGGGACCCUGGUAACCUCUUUGGAGGCUGGUUCUCCACUUUUGAUGACUUUAAGACCUUAGCUGGAAUAGUACUCCUCCUCCUCUCAUGCCUAUUGCCUCUUGUUAUCCGGUCAACCACCUCCCUCAUAGAGGCAAUAGUAGAAAGAAAAUCUGCAGCAAAAGUCCUCAUGCUAUGGAGGUACCAGUCUUUAAACCAAAUAUUAGAAGAAGAUGAUGCUCUCUGAUCCAGUCCUAGAUCCAAGCAUCAAAGUGGGGAAUGUGACAGCCUGACCCUGCCAGGCCAUUUCCUGCUCGAACAAGUUUGUUCCUGACUGCACCCUCCCUUCCCAGGACUCUCUGGCUGAUGUCAGUUUUCUCAUAGCUUGCAAACCAAUCAAUGUUCUCCUUAUAUCUGUAGCUGUGUAGGAAUACAGAAGAAGACUGUAUAAAACUGCCCAUUAUGUUAAAUCUGGGCUCAGCUUUUGGAUAAGAAUCCGCUGAGCCGUCCCGGUAUCAAUAAACGCUGCUUUCUGCUU